UACGUAGGGUGCAAGCGUUAAUCGGAAUUACUGGGCGUAAAGCGUGCGCAGGCGGUUUUGUAAGUCUGAUGUGAAAUCCCCGGGCUUAACCUGGGAAUUGCAUUGGAGACUGCAAGGCUGGAGUCUGGCAGAGGGGGGUAGAAUUCCACGUGUAGCAGUGAAAUGCGUAGAGAUGUGGAGGAACACCGAUGGCGAAGGCAGCCCCCUGGGUCAAGACUGACGCUCAUGCACGAAAGCGUGGGGAGCAAACAGG
rnacentral:rRNA from 1 species